rnacentral:rRNA from 1 species
ACUGCUAUCGGGAUGAGACUUAGCCAUGCGAGUCGAGCGUUUCCUAGCUAUGUUGGAAACGCGGCAUACGGCUCCGUAACACGUAGUUAACCUACCCUUAGGAUGGGGACAACCCCGGGAAACUGGGGCUAAUACCCAAUAGAUGAGAUCUCCUGGAAUGGUUUCUCGUUGAAAAGACAUUAUGGACAUGCUCUUAAUGUUGCCUAAGGAUGGGACUGCGGCCGAUCAGGUUGUUGGUAGGGUAACGGCCUACCAAGCCUAUAACCGGUACGGGCCCUGAGAGGGGUAGCCCGGAGAUGGGAACUGAGACAAGGUCCCAGGCCCUACGGGGCGCAGCAGGCGCGAAAACUCCACAAUGCACGAAUGUGUGAUGGGGUUAUCCCGAGUGCUGUCCGCUGAGGAUAGCUUUUUCCUAGUGUAAGUAGCUAGGGGAGUAAGAGGGGGGCAAGACUGGUGUCAGCCGCCGCGGUAAUACCAGCCCCUCGAGUGGUAGGGACGAUUAUUUGGCCUAAAGCGUUCGUAGCCGGCUUAGCAAGUCCUCCGUGAAAUCCAACGACUUAAUCGUUGGGCGUGCGAAGGAUACUGUUAGGCUUGGGGACGGGAGAAGUCGACGGUACUCCCGGUGUAGGGGUGAAAUCCUAUAAUCCCGGGAGGACCACCAGUGGCGAAGGCGGUCGACUAGAACGUGCCUGACGGUGAUGGACGAAAGCUGGGGGAGCGAACCGGAUUAGAUACCCGGGUAGUCCCAGCCGUAAACGAUGCGGGCUAGGUGUUGGGGUAGCCAAGAGCUACCCCAGUGCCGCAGGGAAGCUCUUAAGCCCGCCGCCUGGGAAGUACGGUCGCAAGGCUGAAAUUCAAGAGGUGGAAAGCCUCUUGUACAGCAGACUUAAAGGAAUUGGCGGGGGAGCACCACAAGGGGUGAAG